GGCCGUGCCAAGGGUAUAAAAGAGGAUCUGAGGGCGCGCGUGUGGCUCUCUGAGCACGCGCAACGGGUAAGGUGGCCUAGAUGUUAGUAGGCGUAAGUUGGGUUAACGAAACGAGUAUAUAGUCUACUGAUUUUAGAAUUUCAGUUCUUUUCUGGGCUGACCUGAGAGCCUCCAUAAUUUUUUUUUAAAUCAAUUUGUUGACUACUCAUUAUACAGUUGAGAAUGAUAACAGUACAGAAAUAGUUCUAAAAGAAAUUAUAUAUAUCUGUGUGGACAUUAUCUGUCCAAAGUACAAGUUGCGGACACUCGAUAACUACAGUUUCAAGCCAUCUUCCAGUUUCCCGAGCAUUGUUCUAUACAGUAAUGCUUUCAAUGAAUGCACAUUUGUAAAAUACAACUGAUAUUUGACAUUUAUCUGUGAAAUCAGCAGAGAGAGACACAUCAGACAGAACAUAUGCAGAAGAAGAAACUGUCUCUGUGCAGUGAUGACAUCUAAAAUGAGUGUUUUCUAGAACUGUAACUGUUGAAUUAUUUCCAGCCAUCCACCUAAGAUGAAAGCAAAAUCUGUUACAGUUAAAACUCACAGGCAAGGAAGGACGNUCAUUCUUAAAUUUGAAGGGUCUAUGAUAAACUCUGCAUAGGUCCCUAUUGGCAUUUAUUAUUUGGAGGUAGGUUUUUUUUGUUUUGUUUUGUUUUUAAUUUGGGCUUAAUUUUCUUAUCUUAUUUAGAGAUCACACUUUAGAAAACUUGGUUGAGUCAGAGGCAUAAUUAAACUAACGCAUUGAAGCACAAUAGAAACAUAAAAUGAGCAAUAGAGCAGCAUCAGUCAACAUUACAAAUUUUGCAACAAUUUGCCGUAUUGGUUCUCAUGAAAUUUUCUAACCCCUCUCCCCCAAAUUUUAGGGCUUAAUUCUGAAAUCACAUUUAGUAGAAUUGAAACGUUAUCAUUUGAAAUGAGCUGAAAGAAGUUAUCGUGACAGUUUGAAAUAAACAAAUAAAAUAUCUUUGGUGAUCGAAUUCA
rnacentral:lncRNA from 1 species